rnacentral:rRNA from 1 species
UCCAACGGGACGCAGCAGUGGGGAAUAUUGGGCAAUGGGCGCAAGCCUGACCCAGCAACGCCGCGUUAAGGAAGAAGGUCUUCGGAUUGUAAAGUUCUUUAAUUGGGGACGAAAAAAAUGACGGUACCCAAGGAAUAAGCCCCGGCUAACUACGUGCCAGCAGCCGCGGUAAUACGUAGGGGGCAAGCGUUGUUCGGAAUGACUGGGCGUAAAGGGUGUGUAGGCGGGGUAGCAAGUUAGCAGUGAAAUACCUAGAGCUUAACUCAGGUGGUGCUCCUAAAACUGCUAUACUUGAGUGCAGUGGA